rnacentral:rRNA from 1 species
CCUACGGGAGGCAGCAGUGGGGAAUAUUGCACAAUGGGGGGAACCCUGAUGCAGCGACGCCGCGUGGGUGAAGGAGUAUUUCGGUAUGUAAAGCCCUAUCAGCAGGGAAGAACAAUGACGGUACCUGACUAAGAAGCACCGGCUAAAUACGUGACAGCAGCCGCGGUAAUACGUAUGGUGCAAGCGUUAUCCGGAUUUACUGGGUGUAAAGGGAGCGGAGGCGGCGCGUGAAGCCUGGUGUGAAAGUCCGCGGCGCAACCGCGGGACUGCAUUGGGAACUGGCGCGCUGGAGUGCCGGAGGGGUAGGCGGAAUGCCUGGUGUAGCGGUGAAAUGCGUAGAUAUUAGGAGGAACACCAGUGGCGAAGGCGGCCUACUGGACGGUGACUGACGCUGAGGCUCGAAAGCGUGGGGAGCAAACAGGAUUAGAUACCCGGGUAGUC